rnacentral:pre_miRNA from 1 species
GCGCUCUGACCUGAGACCUCUGGGUUCUGAGCUGUGACGUUCCUUCCAAGCUGGGAUCUCUGGGGUCUUGGUUCAGGGUCG